rnacentral:lncRNA from 1 species
CUGACAGUUCAUAUGUCGUACCCGACAGAUUGUCUCUGUUAUUCUUGACAGUUGGACCAGAAUACAUAAAAUACACUACUUGGAUUAUAACGUUAGGGCAAUUACAUCAAACUGCCUUCUUUGAACACUUAACAUCCAAUUGAAAAUUUUCAUCAAACGCCAAACCAUGAAAGGACAAUUACAAAAUGGAAUGUAAAAUAUAGUGAUUUUCUAAAAUAAAAAUUCGAGCAAUAAUUACAACACUAAAUUCUCAAACAAACAGACCAUCUCAUGUGAUAAGCUCGUUGAAAGAACAUUAACUUGAAAAUGCUUCUCAAUGUACUUUACAGCUAACCAACCUCUAUGGCCAUCAUAUAUCGCAAAAUGUGCACAUCUAAAAAUUCAGAAACAAAUCAAAAUUUGAAAAACAAAAGCAUACACGUGCAAACAUACCACAUACCUAAAAUCAAUUAUGUAAAAAGCUAAAAUAUCACACAUGAACAAAAACCCAAUUUGGACAUCACCAUUUUUGCUUUUCCUUUCGAUUCUGUAGAUUUAAAGAAAGUUGGAGAGCUAGACAAAAAAUCUUUAGCUGGCCGGAGGUGUGAGUGAGACACUAUCACACAGAUGACGAACGUUGCACAGUUGCAGCACGGUUAGGGUUGAAAAAAAAGCUCGACAAGUUUUGAUUUGUGAAAGAGUAAAAAGUAAAGGAAAGAGAAAAAGAAGAGACGCAACCUAACUACCUAAGGGAGUGGCCAUUGUCGACGUCGGUCCGGAUGGAGUAGAGAAACAAGAAGUUAGAAGAGGGGAGAGCUAGAGUCUGUUGGAGAGGAAAAUGAAAAUCUCCAUCAAUUUUUUCAUUAAUUAGAAGAUAAAUUGUCAACAAUUGAGUAGUGAGAUGAGAGAUGUGAUGUUUUAAAA